rnacentral:rRNA from 1 species
CCUACGGGAGGCUGCAGUGAGGAAUAUUGGUCAAUGGGCGCGAGCCUGAACCAGCCAAGUCGCGUGAGGGAAGACGGUCCUAUGGAUUGUAAACCUCUUUUGCCGGGGAGCAACGGGCGUCACGUGUGGCGCCACUGAGAGUACCCGGAGAAAAAGCAUCGGCUAACUCCGUGCCAGCAGCCGCGGUAAUACGGAGGAUGCGAGCGUUAUCCGGAUUUAUUGGGUUUAAAGGGUGCGUAGGCGGAUCGUUAAGUCAGCGGUAAAAAUGCGGUGCUCAACGCCGUACAGCCGUUGAAACUGGCAGUCUUGAGUGGGCGAGAAGUAUGCGGAAUGCGUGGUGUAGCGGUGAAAUGCAUAGAUAUCACGCAGAACUCCGAUUGCGAAGGCAGCAUACCGGCGCCCGACUGACGCUGAGGCACGAAAGCGUGGGUAUCGAACAGGAUUAGAUACCCCUGUAGUC